AUUCCUGGUGUAGCGGUGAAAUGCGCAGAUAUCAGGAGGAACACCGGUGGCGAAGGCGGGUCUCUGGGCAGUAACUGACGCUGAGGAGCGAAAGCAUGGGGAGCGAACAGGAUUAGAUACCCUGGUAGUCCAUGCCGUAAACGGUGGGCGCUAGGUGUGGGUUUCCUUCCACGGGAUCCGUGCCGUAGCUAACGCAUUAAGCGCCCCGCCUGGGGAGUACGGCCGCAAGGCUAAAACUCAAAGGAAUUGACGGGGGCCCGCACAAGCGGCGGAGCAUGUGGAUUAAUUCGAUGCAACGCGAAGAACCUUACCUGGGCUUGACAUAUACAGGAUCGCGCCAGAGAUGGUGUUUCCCUUGUGGCUUGUAUACAGGUGGUGCAUGGUUGUCGUCAGCUCGUGUCGUGAGAUGUUGGGUUAAGUCCCGCAACGAGCGCAACCCUUGUCUUAUGUUGCCAGCACGUUGUGGUGGGGACUCGUAAGAAACUGCCGGGGUUAACUCGGAGGAAGGUGGGGAUGACGUCAAAUCAUCAUGCCCCUUAUGUCCAGGGCUUCACACAUGCUACAAUGGUCGGUACAGUGGGUUGCCAGUCCGUGAGGGCGAGCUAAUCCCGCAAAGCCGGUCUCAGUUCGGAUCGGGGUCUGCAACUCGACCCCGUGAAGUCGGAGUCGCUAGUAAUCGCAGAUCAGCAACGCUGCGGUGAAUACGUUCCCGGGCCUUGUACACACCGCCCGUCACGUCAUGAAAGUCGGUAACACCCGAAGCCAGUGGCCUAAACUCGUUAGGGAGCUGUCGAAGGUGGGAUUGGCGAUUGGGACGAAGUCGUA
rnacentral:rRNA from 1 species